rnacentral:rRNA from 1 species
CGUGAGAUGUUGGGUUAAGUCCCGCAACGAGCGCAACCCUUGUCCUUUGUUGCCAGCGGGUAAAGCCGGGAACUCAAAGGAGACUGCCAGUGACAAACUGGAGGAAGGCAGGGAUGACGUCAAGUCAUCAUGGCCCUUACGGUCAGGGCUACACACGUGCUACAAUGGGGCGUACAGAGGGAAACGAUACCGCGAGGUGGAGUUGGAACCCAAAAAGCGUCCCUAAGUUCGGAUUGGAGUCUGCAACUCGACUCCAUGAAGUUCGGAAUCGCUAGUAAUC